GAGCCAUGCAGAGGGUAGCUACAGCCAUUAAUUUAAGGAUGUAGAUAAGCUAUCUCUAAACCAAGAAAGUAAGAAUGGUGUGAAUUAUAUUUAUUCCCAGCCUUCCAGUGUUUAUUAAAAUAAUUUUCGGUGUCCUUGAGAGGAGUUAAAAGCCAUCAUUUUACUCCUGCUUACCUCCGCCACCGUAAUUAACCACUUUAUACUGCCUCAUAAUCCCAUUAACAAAUUGCAGUCGCUCCUCAGCCUUCACAUUCAUUCACUCACCAGUUUCUACUGUUUCAUCCUGCCCGGACUCUUAACUGUUCCCUCCCAGGAUCGACAUGCACUUGGAUCAUUGCAGUUUCUGGGCCUGCUGUCAUCUCCCCCUUCAGUACUUCCCACAUAUGACUACCAACUGUUAGACGAUGUGCUGCUGCCAGACCAGCCUUUCAUUUCUUGGACAUCCGGCUAUUUACCCAGGAAAAGUCAUCCUUUGACUAUUUUUCAUGACCUUUCUCAUCUGACUCGUGAUCUGCCCAUCUUGUUACUCCCUAGCAGUGUGGUAAGCCAAAUUCAUUCUCCCAAGAAGACAAGGAUCGAGGACUGUGGAGCCAACUCAGACUCGCCACGGCUAACAAUGUUUCCUGGGAUCGCCUCCCAAAUAAACUGCUUGUACUUGAACCCUUGUCUCAGAGUUGACUACUGGAAGAACCCCAGAUAAGACAAUCUGCGAGUAGACAUGUCAGAUAAUGCAGUUAGAUAUGAAUCUGGAAUUCAGAGGAGAGGCUCAUGCAAUUUGCAAGUCAUCAUCAAAAAGAUGUCAUUUGUUCUGUUUGUCUACUGCAGGAAGACAGAUUACCCUAAAAUUUAGUGGCUGAAAACAACUCUAUUUUAUCGUAGCUUACAAUUUUGUGGAUUGGGAAUUAGAGCCUGUCUCAUCUGGGCAACUCUUCUGUUCCCCAUGGCAUCACCUGAGGUCACUCCAUGGUAUUCAGCUACCAGACGAACUCAUCUGGAGUAUCCAAGUAUUCAUUCACGCUCAUAUCUGGCACCUUGGCAGGGAUGACUGGAAGCCUGGGCUCAGCUGGGACUGCUGACCAUAGUACCUACAAAUGGCCUCUUCAGCAUGGCUUCUUAAAUGGCUGCUCGGAGCUACCAAGAGACAGGAAGUAGAAGCUGCUAGUUUCUUAAGACCCAGAAAUGGUACAAUUUCAUUCCUGCCAUUGGUCAAAGCAGUCACAGAGCCUUCCAAGAGGAAACACAGACCCUCACUUCUCACUGGGAAGUAUGUCAAAGAGUUUGGGGCUUUUUUUUUGAGAAGGAGUCUUGCUCUGUCGCCCAGGCUGGAGUGCAGUGGCAAGAUCUCGGCUCACUGCAACCUCUGCCUCCCGAAUUCAAGCAAUUCUCCUGCUUUGGCCUCCCAAGUAGCUGGGAUUACAGGCAUGCGCCACCACACCCGGCUAAUUUUUUUGUAUUUUUAGUGGAGACGGGGUUUCACCAUAUGGGCCAGGCUGGUCUCGAACUCCUGACCUUGUGAUUCACCUGCCUCAGCCUCCCAAAGUGCUGGGAUUACAGACGUAAGCCACUGCGCCCAGCCCUGGGGCUGUCUUUAAUCCACUACAACAUUGCAAAGCUGUGAGCCAGGAUGAGAACGCCAGAGGUAUGAAUGUGGAUUAAAAGUCCAAGCACUGAAACUUUCAAUGUUUAGAGACCAGUGAGAGAAAGAACCAGCAACAGAGACUCAGAACUAUAUCAUAUUCUGCUGAUAAGCCAAUAAGAUGAUAAUGAUAACUAAGAAUUGACAUUGGCUUUAGUGAUGUAGACAUAAUUGGGGACCUUGACAAGAGCAGUUUACUGGGGGUGGUUGAGUUGAAACUUUGAUUGUUUCAAGAGAGAAUGGAAUGAGUGGAAAGAUAGUUUGUGAGUGCUAGCAAUUAUUCAGAGAAUUUCUGCUAUAAAUGGGAGCAGGAGGAUGUAUCAGGAGCUAAUGGGAGAAAUGAGGUCAACAUUAUUUCCUAUGUAGCUUUCUCUUAUGCCCAAAUUCCACUGGAUAUCAUCCACUUCUGGUUACUUCUGGUUUGGGAUGUAUAGGUGAAGGAAUAGUUUUGGAUCCUCCUUUAUUACCUGUUUUAUUUGCAUAAUUGGACAAUAACUAAACUUGCUUUAAAUAUCUCUUAAAGCAUUUUAAAUUCAAAUUUGGAGAGAGGAAUAUGAGAGUGGUUUUUGGUCAUUGUUUAGCCAUAUACAAUAUUGUCUUACCUUCUGCAUUUGAAGUUUUUGAUACCUGAUAAAUGUUUGUAUUGUGUAGUUGAACAAGAAUUUGCCACAUGAAGGUUUACAGUUGUAGUUUUAUGUUAAGUUCUUUACAGU
rnacentral:lncRNA from 1 species